UCGAGCCGAGGGGGGCUGCGGUGUCGUUGAUGGGGGUCGGGGUCGGUACGCACAGCACUCAGCACCGCAGGGCUGCCCUCGGGGCUCAAAGCCCGGAGCCGAGAGGUGCGGGCGGGCAGCGCGUAGUUGCGUGGCGCUGCCGUACCUGGAGAGCGCCGUGCCGGGACGAGGAGCGGCCGUGAUGGGGUCCCGCAAAGCCCGAGUGUAUUUAAAGACAAAAAAAAAAAAGUGGUUUUCAGCAGCCCGACUUGAUAACCCGCAUUCCUGAGAUGCUGGGCGUUUGUGCAUCUUCAUUAACGUGACAAGAGCCUGAGUCUGCAGCCAGAAAGCGGCUCCUCCAGGUGUUUAUCUGAUCAGUGCACUUCAGGAAUUGCUCACUCUCUUCUUGAUGCUCCACCUGAGGGUUUCUCUCUCGCUGCAGCAGCGCUUCCUGAGGGAAUCUGCAUCCUCUGCCUGACUUCUCUGAUUGCUGGAGCUGCUGAACGUCCUACAGAAGAGGCCCAGCAGCAGCAGCAGGUAGGGUGAGGCAGCUGCUGAAGAAACACUCAAAGCUCACUGGUGACUCUUGUACAGUUUGGGCCUCUGCACAGAUGCAUGCUUUGUUACUGCUCUCCACACUGGAGGUUUAUAAAGCAAGUCUGUAGUUAUGGUGUGACUUGGUGCGCCCAGCACAGUGCAGACCUGCAGAGAUGAACUGAUUUUAUCCAUCUCCUUCCUGGAGUUUGUUGAUUGCUGUGAGGCACUUUGGAUUUGAUUUUCCUGCUGAAAGGUGCAAUUGCUGAUCUGGCAACUGAGGAAUCAUCACCAUCACCAGCGCAUCUCCUGGCAAAGCAAAGCACCUCCUUUCAUAGAAGCUGGUGAUUCUCAGGCGCCUUUCCCUAAAUAGGGGAUUUUUGGUGGAGUUAAACAUUAACACUGUUCGCAGUUCCCAUCUGUUCAAGGUCCAAGAGAGAAGCCGUGCUGAAUCAGCCUGGCAGCUGUAUUUCCUGCUCCGGUUCUCUCCUUCUGCAUGAUUCACUCACUCCAACUCCCUGCCAGGAAGUCUUGGUCCUGGGUGAGACAGUAAGAAACAGGGAUGCUCCUGCUGUCCUGCACCAGGAUACUGGAGACCAACUCCUGUGUGUCCUGACUGCCCUGCAAGUAAUGUUGGUGCUGCAAGGAAAGGAGGGAAACUCACACUCAACAAAAGACUUGCUCGAGCUAUUCAGGAAUUUUCUUUGGCUGUUAGCAGUCCUAUGCUCUUGCCACAUGUAACUUUUCCUUCCAGGCUGUGCUGGACAAUGGCUGUGAAUGCACGGGACAGCUUAUUGUUUGGCUGUGUAUGUUGCUCUUGUUUGGGCACUUGAACUAAAAGGGUAAAUCCUUUUAACUGUGAUGUUUUCAAGAGGAGCACAUUAGCCAGGAAGGAGGGUGGGCAGAUGAGAAGAGCUGUUUUAUUUAAUAUUACUGCCACAGUAGUACACUCCAGCACUGCCAGGACUUUGGGCGUAGCCAGUCUGACAUGGGAAACUGAUUGUUCAGCGCUGUUGCCUGGCUGCUGCUUGGAGCUGCAGCUCUGUGCUGUCUGCCUGGUGCUAAGGGUUGGAGUCAGACCCAGCAACUGCUGCUCAUCCACUUCCAGAGGCACCGAUCCCACGCUGGUGGGUUUGGUUCUGCCUGGACAGCACUCAGUUUGCUUCAGCACCGGUGGCAGUUUGUGAAAAUGCAACUGCAGGAUCUGCUGAGCUCAGACCUGCAAACGGAGCCAGGAGUCUCUCUGGCUUUGGAUAAAACUUUGCUGUGGUUACAUGGAUCAUGUGAUGGCGCAGCUGAUCUUUCCAGCAUUCGGUGCUCUUGCUUUAGGCUUCCUCAGCUGUGCAAAGAGUUCAAAAAUUGUCCCCCCCUGAUAUAACUGCUACUUAUUGAUACUAGGACAACAACUUCCAGGAGUUGUUGAGGAGACUCCUCUGCCUGCAUUCCUGUUUAUCAGAGACUCCUUCCCAGCACGCCAGCCCAUCCACAAAGCCUUCAGCAUCCUCAGCUGUGGGAUUUCUGAACAGAUGCAGCUCCUCCCUGCAGCGCAGUGGCACUCCCUUCCCUGCUCAGGACAGCGUGCCACGUCGGUCAGAUCCUCAAGAGCUUUGGCUCUCAGAAUCGAGUGAGUUAAACCAGGUCUAAGCUGGACUCUGGGUCCUCUUUGGGACAUGUUGACAGAGAAAUGUACGCCUUGAAACAACUUGAAAAGAAGAACUGUAGGGAGGGAGGAGAGUAGGAAAAGGCAUCGGCUGUGAGCGGCCGCCCUCUCCUGAGUUCUCCCCCCCUGCAAAGAGUGCAGCCCUGGCUCCUCUGUGACCUCUUUCUUCCUGCAGAGUAAUGAAAGUCAGCACGCUGUAAUGGCAGGCUGAAAGUCAGCUGCUCUGCCACAGGGUUUGUCCUCCGGAUAGAUGAAAGGAAAGUGGUUUGGUGUCCAAACGACUGUCACAGCUUUAAAGAAGAAUUAAAGCCAGAUGUUUCCAACCAGCCUGCUGAGAGCAGCCUUUUCUGACAUAUUUGCCAAGCCAUCAAGGAGACCCAGCCAGUGUCUGCAGUGCUGCAUGUUGGGAAAACACUGUGAUCCCAAAAGCUGUGCUGCAGUUGCUGGAGCACCCAGGCUGUCCGUAAUGAGUGCACCCACAGGGUUGGGGCACAGUGCCGCCAGCUCAAUGUUUGUGCACCAUUUAUCAGUAUUUACUCCUCACUGAUAAUGGAGAUGAUAGCAAGAUUGUAGUAAACACAUCAAAUUCAACACCUUUUGCCUUAGGACAAGGUAUUGUAGGUAUUGAAGGUAUUGUAACUGGGCUGGCAUCAGCUCUCAGAUUGGUGGCUUGUAAUGGUCAAUGGAGUCCAGAAUGUCAUCCCUGUCCCUGGCUGCGCUCAGGCUGAUGUUCAGUCUAACAGGCAGAUUGAGCUUUUGCCACACUGGGAUCCCAUCAGAACAACGAAGAAAGCAUUUUAGUCUCGCCUCACACACACAGCGUUUGUAUUCAGCUGCGGCUGAAGCCAAUGACUGUUCCUGUGUGGGUAGAAGUGAGGUGAAAGCCGAGGAAUAGGGAAACGGAAUCCUUGCCUCAGUGUAAUCAGGGAGAGAUCGGCACUUCCCACUUUGCUGGGAGCAACACAGACCUCAGGACUGCUGGGUGUGUGGUUCCAGCUCACACCCAGAGGUAAUUAAUCUUUUUGCCAGCGUAGCUGCUCCAGGCUUCUGACUACAAUAGGUAUUGCUCUUUGCCUUUGUCAGCCUGCCUUGUGGUUACAGCGUUCACCUUCUGGCCUCUUCAGGAUAAAUUCCUGAUGCUGUGCCCUCAGCGCUGCUUCGAGGUGGAGUUUCCUCUUGCGAAAUCAGUGGGCGCUGGAAAUGUCCUCUUGGCUCCAGUGCCUGGGAAAGGUUUUGCUUCCUGAUCUAUGGGGAUGUGUCGCAGCCUCCUCUUCCUCCUGCCAGCAUGCUUCCUCCUCUGGAGCGGCAGAUGAGGUGCUCCUGAGAUGCCAUGUGCCACCGGAUCACUGUCUAUUGCAGGGAAGCAAAUGAUAAAUUCAGAAGGUGCAAAAAUAAAUAGAGAAGAGGAAAGAUAGGAUGCGGAAAAUCCCAGUUUUUACUGGCAUCCACUCAUAAUCAGAUAAUUUGACCAAUAACAAAAAAUAAAUCCCUCUCUCGUCUGACUCUACAAAGCUGAGACAUAAAAAGGAGCUUUCUUCCAUGCCCUUCAUUUGUUCUCACAAUACAACAUCUCAUUUCAGCGUGUGCAUCAAUUCAUUCUGCUCCGCCACAUCACGGACAGAGGCACGAUUGUUUCUGCUGCGAUUCCAAAACCAACUGUGCAGAGAAAGCCUUUGGGAGCUGCUCGGUGAGGCGGGCUUUGGGCUGCUGGCACUCCGGGUGGAGCUCAGGGAAAGCUGUCGGCCUCACCACCCUCCUGUAAAUUAACAGAAGACGGUGACUAACAGGAAGGAAACCGGACUGUGGUGUAAACACAAACUUUCAGAUGGGUAUUAAAUGUUAUCUGAUUGUAGCUUGUUUCUUGAAUAGUCCCAACUGAUUUGCUCCCUUGGAAGACAGACAAUUAUUGUUGCAAAAUGAAUUAUUUAGUAGCUUUAUAGACUGGGUCUGUUUUUCUGCCCCUUCUGCACUUCAAGCCCAAUGAGGUUGUAGGUGAGUAAGGGCUCUGCCAGCAGUGGAAGUGUUUUUGCAAACAUCUGACCAAUGACUUUACCAGUGUGAUUAAAUGGGGAGAUCCUGCAGGAGCAAAAAAGAACUGGGGCCUCCCUGAGCUCCUGUGGGAUUUCCAGAGCUCAGUAGGUCUGAACACGAGGCUCAGAACAAUUCUGUGCUAUGAUUUCCCCAUUGCUGUGAUAUUGCGAUGGGUGCACUAAAAAUGGAUGAGCAGAUUCUGAAGAUAAAGAGGCCUGUAAAACAGGGAUAAUGCUUAAUUACUUCACAGGAGGGUAAAAGGAUUAAUGAAUUAAUGUUUGCAAAUUGCUUUGAAGAUGAAAUGUGCUAAGUCUGAUUAUAUCUGGUGGGGUGAGGGAUAAGAAUGAAAAGGAGGUGAUCAAUUCCAUCCUGUAGCCCCCAGAAACAAUAAAUAAUGAUCUGAA